rnacentral:sRNA from 1 species
CAGACUCAGCAGGCAUGACUGGAGAGGGAAGUCCCAAUGGUGCUAGAAUGGUGCUGCAGUGGCAGAAGACGGCUCACGAGUGAGGUCUGGAAGAACAACAGGGAAGACAUCCAUCAUUUGCUCCAAAGUGUGCAAGUCAAAUCCUGGGGAGAAUCAUGAUAACCCUGAUCACUGAGCAGCUACAGAAGCAGACUCUGGAUGAGCUGAAAUGCACACGCUUCAGCAUCAGUCUGAAGGUGCUUCCUGGAGGGGCCUGCCCCACUGUUCCUGUGCUGAGUUCCAGGACAGCCUCAACUUCAGCUACCAUCCCUCAGGCCUGAGCCUGCACCUCAGACCACCCAGUCGGGGAAGCUCCCCCAAGGAGCAGCCCCUCUCCCAAGUCCUAAGACCUGAGCCCCCAGAUCCAGAGAAGCUUCCUGUGCCCCCUGCCCCUCCAUCCAAGAGGCACUGCCGCUCACUCUCAGUGCCCGUGGACCUGUCUCGCUGGCAGCCGGUGUGGCGGCCCGCCCCCUCCAAGCUGUGGACUCCCAUCAAGCACCGGGGCAGUGGUGGAGGGGGUGGGCCGCAGGUGCCUCACCAGAGCCCCCCGAAGCGGGUCUCCAGCCUCAGGUUCCUCCAAGCUCCCAGUGCCUCUUCUCAAUGUGCCCCAGCCCACAGACCCUACAGCCCUCCUUUCUUCAGCCUGGCCCUGGCCCAAGAUUCCUCUCGACCCUGCGC